GGGGGUGUAGCUCAGUGGUAGAGGGCUUGCCUAGCAUGUGUGAGGUCCUGGGUUCCAUCGCCAGCACCACCA
rnacentral:tRNA from 1 species